GCUGGCGUGGCGUAGUGGUUUGGGCGUUGGACUAGGACACUGGAGACCAGAGUUUGAAUCCCUGCUCACUCA